rnacentral:rRNA from 1 species
AUACGUAGGUGGCAAGCGUUGUCCGGAAUUACUGGGUGUAAAGGGAGCGUAGGCGGGGAUGCAAGUCAAAUGUUAAAACUAUCGGCUCAACUGGUAAGUGCGUUUGAAACUGCGUUUCUUGAGUGAAGUAGAGGCAGGGGGAAUUCCUAGGGUAGCGGGGAAAUGCGUAGAUAUUAGGAGGAACACCAGUGGCGAAGGCGGCCUGCUGGGCUUUUACUGACGCUGAGGCUCGAAAGUGUGGGGAGCAAACAGGAUUAGAUACCCUGGUAGUCCACACUGUAAACGAUGAUUACUAGGUGUGGGGGGACUGACCCCUUCCGUGCCGGAGUUAACACAAUAAGUAAUCCACCUGGGGAGUACGGCCGCAAGGUUGAAACUCAAAGGAAUUGACGGGG